rnacentral:lncRNA from 1 species
AAAAUCCCUGAGGGUACCUGUCUCGUGGGGAUUUAUGUCAUUCCUACGUAUCUCUUUCAACGUCCAAUUUCCCUUGUUAGUUGCUGCCGUUACUGCAUCAAUCUCUUGUUCACUCAUCAUUAGUCGCGCAAGCUACUUUAUCGAAUCCUCUAGAUCUAGAUCUAGAUCCAUCCUUUUAAGCUUUGACCCGUAGUUAUUGAUCACUAACUCAAUCCCGCUAUUCACGACGGCGACCUGAGGUAAAAAAGCUAAUGUCACUGCCACUGCCGUCACCAUCGUUCCAACUGCCACCAACCCUUAGUCACCAAACCACUGACCCAACACUUGAGAGCCAUAAACAAAAAUACCCUCUCCGGCUGGUGUGUUUUUUAUUUGGCUUUUUUCUUUUGCUUUUAUUUUUUUAGUUUUUAUUUUUAUUUUUUUAAUGGUGGUUGGUUUUAUUAUUGACUGUUGGGUGUAGUCUAUCUGCUCCUCUUGAUAUCUUGUAUGGUUGUUGAUGAUGUCAACUUAGAGUUCAGUUCAAAAUUGUGUCAAUGUUCAAAUCGGGAGGAUAUGCCUGUAUUGGAGUUGAUAAAGGGCUCUAAUAGUUGUGCAUUUAUAUUCUGAUGACUUGGUGCAAGUUACCGAUGGCUUGGGUUGAGGGCUCAUUGAGAGGGGAUACUUUAGAUAGUUUGAUUAUAUUGUUGAGUUUUUGUGAUUUUUGGUGUGCUUGUAGUUAGUAGUUAGUAUUAUGUUAUGGCGCUCUAUGUUAAUUUUGUAGGAUUAUUUUCCUUCUCUAAUUAGAAAAGGAUCUCAUCUACAUUAGUUGAGGUUGGCAACAGUUCGUAAAAUUUCUUUUCAUUGUAAGUAGGUUUAAUAGAUGAAAUUCUUUUUUUCUUUAGGUUUGUAAUUAUAUUUGGUUUUAGGAAUUAUUCGAUCCUAGGCUUAAAUUAUAGGUCUUAUCCUAUUUAUUAUAUUUAAGCUUAGUGAUCGUGUAUUUAUGUCUCUAUGACAUUUUAUAGUUGGACUAGUUUUCAUCGUUAAUGAAAGAUAUAUUUUCUUUUUAAACAAAAAAAUACAACAAUUUAUUUUAGUUCUCAUUUCUCAUUUCUCAUCUAAUUCAAGUUCAUUCUAAUUCUAUCCUAUUCCAAUUAUUAAUUGAUAAAUAUAUCAUGAGUAACUAAUGUUGAGUAAAUCCUCUCAUUUUCAUUCAUUUUUUUUAUCUUUUUUUUAAAAUGAGGUGUUAUUUAGGGAAAAAGAUUUAAAAAAAAUUGAGAUGUUGGAUGAUGUCGAAGUAAUUAAUGGUGCUAGAGGAUGAAGUCAAUUAAUGAGUUGUGCCUUUAUUGAUGAAUGGGGCCGUUGAUUGAAGUAGGAGUUUAGGUCAAGGAUUAAGGCCAGUAGGUUUCAACCUGACGUAUCACCAUGCCAAACACUUCAGAUUAACAUUUAGGGACAACAUUUUGAUUCUUUCCAUUUUGUUUUCACAUUGGCGCUACACUGAAUAAUGUUGUAGGCUACUUCUUUGUUGCUUCUAUUGAUAGCAUAUAAUCUCUCUAAUCGCGUCACACAUUGUGCUUAUAAGCAUUUUGACACUUUUUUUUUAUUUUUUUAAACAUAAACUGAUUUUUUUUCUUAACACUUAUAGUACACUCCACCGAUCAUAUAGGGAGAAAUAUAUCCUUAUUUAGGGAUCAAGGCAUUUUGUUGAAGAUGAAAGUACAUUGAAUUCAUAUGAAGUUUUAUCAUGACUAGAUUGCAUCCAUUGGGCAAAUAUUGUUAACAUAUAUGUUUCCAUAAUAUUGAUUUUGAUGAUAACAAACAAGAUUAAGAAUGAUUAAGUUUUUAAAAGCUCAAAUUAUUUUAAAUAAAUCAUUAUUUUUACACUAUAAAGAAUUUAUAUUUAAUGGAAAAAUGUAUUUAUGAAAUUGGUUGUUUUUCAAGUUUAUGAUUUAAUUGAAAGAGUUUUGAAAACUUUGAAAUCAACAAGUAUUGCUUGAAAUUUUGGAGAAUGAUUUAUUUGAAAAGUGUCAUAGCAUUUUGGGCUAUAUCAUAAUUUCAUAAAGUUGUGAGAUUAACAAAGCAUUAUUUAGAAAUUCUGAAAUUGGACCUUUUUGUAAACUUUCAUAACGUUUUGAGUCAUAAUACAGUUUUAUAAAGUUUUGGGGUCAAACUAUAAAUUUGGAAAAUAAUUUCACUGUAGCAAUCACUGUAGCAAACGGCUAACCGAUAAUUUCCAAAAAGCAUGUUCUGCAAAGUAUUGUUAAAAUGAUGAUUCUGGAACAUAACGGUGAACCGUUUACUGAAAACAGUUAACCGAUUAUUUCCAGAUUGCUAACCUUAAACCGUUUAGUAAGAACGGUUAAACCAAAUUUGUUUUGCAGGUCUCUGGAAUUUAACGGCGAAAGGGUAAUCCUAAACGGUAAACCGUUUAUUUGAAAAUUGGCCCAACGGUAACUUUGACCGGCCUAAACGGUUAACCGUUAAUGGUUAACGGUGAACCGUUUUCGAGCAGACAGUCUAUAACGGCUAGUUUUUCAGCUCCAACUAUAAAUAAGCUCAAUCCAAUUCAAACAAUGAGUUUUUUCCAACGAUCAUCAUUGAGCAAAAUAUUGAGAAUACAACUUUCAUUAAGCUUUAAAUCUUUGUAUUCAUCUCAUUCAUUCACACAUUGAGCUUUCACUUGUGAUCAAACACAUUGUGUGAGAGAGAUUCAUUUGUAAUCCUUUUUGUAAAAUCAAGUUAAAAGAUUGUAAGUGUUGGGAUACACUUGGGUUAAGAGAUUGAGGAUAAUCUCUUGUUGUAAAGGUCCAUUGACACCUUGGAAGUUAAUUGUAAGCGUUUGAAGCCUUGGGAGGCUAGCUUAGUGAAAUUCGCAAGCCCGGUGAGCUUGGAGGCGUGGACGUAGGCGGGGAUUGCCGAACCACGUAAAAAUCAUUGUGUUUGUUUUCUCUUCCCUUAUUCUUUUAAUAUUGUGCAUGAUUAAAUUUAUUGUUUUCAAUUUGAUUAAGGCAAUAGAUUAAAUUGUUGUGUGGUUUGCCUAGGAUAAUUUUUAAAAUCCCAAUUCACCUCCCCUCUUGGGUUGCCUAAUUAGUAUUUCAUUUGGUAUCAGAGCGAGGUGCUCUUGUUUAGACUUAACCGUCUAGAGUUAAAGAUCCAUGGCAACCUAUAGUGACUCAACCUUUAGGGAAGGACAAUCCACAAUUAGACCACCGUUCUUUGACGGUAAUGACUACCCAUAUUGGAAAACUAUGAUGAGAAUUUAUUUACAAGCUUUAGAUUAUGAAAUUUGGGAAAUUGUUUGUGAUGGUCCAUUUAUGCCUUUGACUAAAAACGAAGUUGGGGAAGAUAUUCCAAAACCUUCACGGGAAUGGAAUGAAUUGGAAAAGAGAGAAGCUUCUCUAAAUUCCAAAGCCAUGAAUGCCUUAUUUUGUGCACUUGAUAAGAAAGAGUUUCAUAGAGUGUCUAGUUGUGAAAGUGCUAAUGAAAUUUGGCACAAACUUGAAGUUGUUUAUGAAGGCACGAAUCAAGUGAAAGAGUCUAAAAUUAGUAGGUACACUCGACAAUAUGAAUUGUUCCAAAUGGAACAAAAUGAGAGUGUGUAUUCUAUGUAUACUAGAUUUACGGACAUAGUGAACACUCUAGGAGCCCUAGGAAAGACCUUUUCAAAUAGCGAGAAAGUUAAGAAAAUCAUUAGGUCGUUACCUAAGGAAUGGAGACUAAAAAGGACUGCCAUUGAGGAAGCUAAAGAUUUGAAUAUCUUACCUAUUGAUGAUUUAAUUGGUUCUCUUAUUUCUUAUGAGGAAGACAUGGCAGCCGAAAGAAGCAAUGAUGAGAAGAAGAAAAGCAUUGCUCUCAAAGCCUCGAAACAUGAGAGUGAUGAGGAAAGCGAGCUGGAUGAGGAGGAGAUGGAUAUGCUGGCUAGGAGGUUCAGAGAACUUUUUAAGAAAUCCGGUGAGCAAAGAAAAUUUAAAGACUUCAAGAACCGAAAGGAGAAGAAUGAAGUAAUCAAAUGUUAUGAGUGCAAGAAGCCCGGCCAUAUAAGAACGGAAUGCCCUCUUCUCAACAAGCUCAAGAAGAAAACAAUGGUAGCCACAUGGGAUGAUAGCGAUGAGAAAAUAAGUGAUGAUGAAGAGCAUCAAGAAAUGACAAAUCUAGCUCUCAUGGCAAUUGGAGAUUAAUCGGAUGAUGAACUUGAUGAGGUAAAUGAUCUUUUUACUUAUGAUGAAUUAUAUGAUGCUUUUAAAGAAUUACAUGAUAAUUGGAUAAAAAUUGGUAAAAAGAAUGCAUGUCUUAAAAAGAAAAUGGUAAAGCUCACAAAUGAAAAUGAAUCUCUAUGUGCAAAGAUUACAUGCCUAGAAUUAGAGAAUAAAACAUUGCAUGAUAGAGUUGCAUUAUCUAAUGAGAAACCUAGCACUUCACAUGAGCAUCUAGAAUAUCACAUAGAUGACUUGAAAAAGGAAAAUGAAAUGCUUAAAAAUAAGAGCAAUGAGUUAAAUGAGAUUGUUUUAAGAUUUGCAAAUAGACAAAAGAUGUUGGAUAACUUGAUUAAUUCACAAAAAUGUGUGUUUGAUAAAGGAGGACUUGGUUAUAAGCCACAUUUGAAACAAAAGUAUUAUAAGAACUACUUUGUGAAGAGUACAUCUACUAACAAUCAAGUUGUAUGUCAUUGUUGUAAUCAAAACGGUCACAUGAAGCUUGGUUGUCCUAUUAAAAGAAAAGUAUAUUAUGGAGUAAAAUGUGUUUGGGUUCCAAAAGGAACAAUUGCUAACACUCAAGGACCCAAGAGUAUUUGGGUACCAAAGGGCACAACGUGAAUGUUUUCUUUGUAGGUACCACAAUCAAGGAAUGGUGGAGAGUUCCUUGAUGAAAGCUUGUGAGGAUAAUCACUUGAGUAUGAUCUAGGAGAAAAAGAUGAGGCAAGAUGAUUUAAUUGUUUUGGUAACAAUUCUUGCCAUAUUAAUUUUGUUGAAUGAAUCAUGAUAAAUGAAUUUGCGAAAGUAUGAUUGUAUGUUUACAUGAUGGAAUUAUCAUUGUGUAUAACAUUGAGUGAUUUAUCAUGAUGCCUUUGUUUGAUUUUGAUGAUUGUAUGGUCUUUGAUUUCAUCUUCUUAAUUGUCUAUCAUCAUUGUCCAUCUCUUAUAUAUGUGUGAAUUCAUAUGCCAUUAAUUGUGUUAUAUCAUCAUUCAUUUAUAAAAUUGACAUUAUUGUUUGAUACGAUUUCAUAUGUUUGGUCUUGUAUACAUUUAUGUCUCAUGCAUUAAAAUGGCUUAUAAAACAUUUUUGGAUCAAUUAAAUGAUUUUGGAAUGUAUUAUUUGCUGGCCAAAAAUUAAAUUAAAUGUGCGGAAUUAUAGAUGAAGUAAACAGAUAACCGUUUCUCAAUAAACGGUGUACCGUUUAAUUCCAGACACUAGGCUAUGAUGAUUUAAACCUUACUCCCUUACCGUUUUCGGCAAACGGUAAACCGUUUAAAAACAUAAAGCUCACUGGAAUUUACCCCUUUACCGUUAAGGACUAACAUUUCACCGUUUUUCCAUUAAAUGCUCUCUGGAAGUUACUCCCUCACCGUUUACAAAAAAAGGCUCGCCGUUUUCUUGAAAUAUAAAAUUGUUCCAAGGGUUUCUUCUCCUUCUUCAUUUACCCUCUUACCGUUUCUGCCAUUGUUGCACAGUCGAAGCUUUCUCCUUCUUCAAUCCUUCAUUUUUCUUCAUUUUCUUGCCAAAUCACAUCGAUAAAAUCAUUUCUCUUCAUCUUUAGAAAUCCAAACCCUAAGGGCAGCCGAACGGAUUUCCUCCAUGUUGACCGAAAUUUUGCCCUUCCUCAACCAAAUUGAGCCAUAAUUUCACAUCUUCACCACCUACUUAGUUUCUGACUCUUAUAUGCGCACAUACAUUUCAUCUUUUGUUUCCUUGUGUGUUGCUAUUUAUAUUUUUUGGUAUACAUUGCUACUUCUAUAUGAUUUUGAUGACGGAUAUUUUUAUGUGAUGCUUUUGCUGUUGGAUGACUAUUUAUGUGUGAACUGAUGCUUGAUGGCGUUGUUGGUAUAUUUAGCAUAUUUGGAAGUGUUUUGAUCUUAUUUUGUAUUUGAGGAUUUGUUUCAUUUUACGAGGAACCUUUGCCAAAAUUUUUGCUCGCAUAAAAUGAGUAAUAUCUUCAUCGAAUCAUUUCUUUUUUUUAUGAUCUUGUUUCGAUUGCAUCUAUCUAUCUUUUUUUUUUUUUACCAUGAAGGGGAAGAUAAAUGUGAUAUGAUUUCGGAUAAAAUCAUUUUGGUUAAAAUUCUUAAAUUGGCCAUAUAUUUAGGGGGAGCAUAUAAUAUGAUUUUGGAUAAUAUGCAUUUUAAAUUUUUUUGUUGUCCAAAGGGAGAGACAAAGUAAUAUCUCAUUUCGAUAUUGUCAAAAGGAGGAGAAUAAUAUGCAUUUUGAGUAAUUAUUUUGAUAAUUGAUAUGUGAUUAUGGUGAGAACUUGAUGAUUUUGAGAUAUGAUGAUGAUUUGAUUACAUGGGUGUUUUAUAUGAUAAAUUUAUGUUAUGAGUUGUUGACUUGGUAAUUGAUGGAAUAAUGAUUCAUGAUAUUUUUGUGUGAUGAUUUGUGUAUGGAGUUGGCAUGUAUCAUGAUUUAUAAUAAUUUGGGAGUAAUAUUACUAAACUUGUAUUUGAGGUAAUGCUUGUUGAUAGGGGGAGAAAUUUGCUACUCUUUGGGUAACAAAUUUGUUACUCUUUUUCUUUUCCACUAAGUUUUUCUUUUUGAUGAUGAGGGGGAGAAGAAUGCAUGUAUUUAAAUUUGUUAAUUUAGCUAAAUUGUAAGAGAAGCUUACAUUUAGGGAGAGCAAUUUGUGUAAUCAUUUUUUAAAUACAUGAAACGUUUUUCAUCAUCAAAAAGGGGGAGAUUGUUAACAUAUAUGUUUCCAUAAUAUUGAAUUUGAUGAUAACAAACAAGAUUAAGAAUGAUUAAGUUUUUAAAAGCUCAAAUUAUUUUAAAUAAAUCAUUAUUUUUACAUUAUAAAGGUUUUAUAUUUAAUGGAAAAAUGAUUUUAUGAAAUUGGUUGUUUUUCAAGUUUAUGAUUUAAUUGAAAGAGUUUUGAAAACUUUGAAAUCAACAAGUAUUGCUUGAAAUUUUGGAGAAGAACUUAUUUGAAAAGUGUCAUAGCAUUUUGGGCUAUAUCAUAAUUUCAGAAAGUUUUGAGAUUAACAAAGCAUUAUUUAGAAAUUCUGAAAUUGGACCUUUUUGCAAACUUUCAUAACGUUUUGGGCCAUAAUACAGUUUUAUAACGUUUUAGGGUCAAACUAUAAAUUUGGAAAAUAAUUUCACUGUAGCAAUCACUGUAGCAAACGGCUAACCGUUUAUUUAAAACGGCUAACCGAUAAUUUCCAGAAAGCAUGUUCUGCAAAGUAUUGUUAAAAUGAUGAUUCUGGAACAUAACGGUGAACCGUUUACUGAAAACGGUUAACCGAUUAUUUCCAGAUUGCUAACCUUGAACCGUUUAGUAAGAACGGUUAAACCAAAUUUGUUUUGCAGGUCUCUGGAAUUUAACGGCGAAAGGGUAAUCCUAAACGGUAAACCGUUUAUUUGAAAAUUGGCCCAACGGUAACUUUGACCGGCCUAAACGGUUAACCGUUAAUGGUUAACGGCGAACCGUUUUCGAGCAGACAGUCUAUAACUGCUAGUUUUUCAGCUCCAACUAUAAAUAAGCUCAAUCCAAUUCAAACAAGGAGUUUUUUCCAACGAUCAUCAUUGAGCAAAAUAUUGAGAAUACAACUUUCAUUAAGCUUUAAAUCUUUGUAUUCAUCUCAUUCAUUCAUACAUUGAGCUUUCACUUGUGAUCAAACACAUUAUGUGAGAGAGAUUCAUUUGUAAUCCUUUUUGUAAAAUCAAGUUAAAAGAUUGUAAGUGUUGGGAUACACUUGGGUUAAGAGAUUGAGGAUAAUCUCUUGUUGUAAAGGUCCAUUGACACCUUGGAAGUUAAUUGUAAGCGUUUGAAGCCUUGGGAGGCUAGCUUAGUGAAAUUCGCAAGCCCGGUGAGCUUGGAGGCGUGGACGUAGGCGGGGAUUGCCGAACCACGUAAAAAUCAUUGUGUUUGUUUUCUCUUCCCUUAUUCUUUUAAUAUUGUGCAUGAUUAAAUUUAUUGUUUUCAAUUUGAUUAAGGCAAUAGAUUAAAUUGUUGUGUAGUUUGCCUAGGAUAAUUUUUAAAAUCCCAAUUCACCCCCCCUCUUGGGUUGCCUAAUUAGUAUUUCAAAUAUUGGUUCAAUAAAGAUUUGUCUCUCUAGAGUAAAAAUGGAAAAGUUGGGAGGAAAAAUCGAAGACUAGGGAUUUCCAUUGAAAAUAACUAAAAUAGUCAAUCUCUCAAACCAAUGCAACUUGCAACUCAAGUAAUCAAGUGAAGAAACUUUACAUUUGAAGCUCCGGUUACUGAUAAACAAAUAGAUCAGAAGUUAUACCAUAAUUUUUGAUAGCAUACAUCUCUUGUAAUGAGAACAAAAUUGAUUACAAAAGCUUAUUUUGUUUUUAAACAUACGAUAUCCAUGUUAGAUUUCCCAUCUGUGCCUAAAAAACUGAUCAGGAUCAAUGCCUAUGCUUUGUGCCCUAAAAAAGAUCAGGAUCAAUGCCUAUGUUUUGUUUAUAACAUCAAAACUUUAUCCUCAAAUGGCCUAAAAAAGUCCUGAAUUGCAGCACUUUGACUUAAUCCCUUUUAUAUUUACAGCUCAGGAACUUCUAGUUAAUAAUACAUGCUGCUCAUUUUCUAGAUUAACUCUCUUCUUCGUAUUUAAUAGCACUAAAAGCAUUACUUAAAUGACAUAAAAGUUGUAGAAAUCUGAAUCAUCUCCAGAAAGAGUGCUUUCCCUUCCUUUCCUUUUUAACUUUUCUCUCUUCCUCUCUGCCCUUCUUCGUUUUGAAAUCACUGCGUAAUAGGUCAAAAAACUAAGAAUUCCCACCAUUGUUACUCCUCCUACAGCUGUAAUGAAAAUUGCAGCCCAUCUGUUGUGCCUACCAACAACUAUAUAUGAUGAAGAAGUAAAUGCCACAGAAGUGCAUAUAGAUGCCAGCCACAUGAGCUUAUUUAUCACUUUAGUAACCCGUCUCUCUGAUUUUAGCUCUCCCCUCACAAUUGUGAUUUGUACCAACACAACAGCCAAUGAGAAGAAUAAAGCAAAGGCAUUGGCAACAUAGAAGAUCUUAAAUGGGAUUGUGCUUACCACCACGGAUGAUCCAUCAUCACGGUCACCACCAGGAAGUGUGAAAAUAGAUGCGAAUGCAACUGUUGCGAAAAGCACAGCAACC